rnacentral:rRNA from 1 species
AUUGAACGCUGGCGGCAUGCUUUACACAUGCAAGUCGAACGGCAGCGCGGGCUUCGGCCUGGCGGCGAGUGGCGAACGGGUGAGUAAUACAUCGGAACGUGCCCAGUAGUGGGGGAUAGCUCGGCGAAAGCCGGAUUAAUACCGCAUACGACCUGAGGGUGAAAGCGGGGGAUCUUCGGGCCUCGCGCUAUUGGAGCGGCCGAUGGCAGAUUAGCUAGUUGGUGGGGUAAAGGCCUACCAAGGCGACGAUCUGUAGCUGGUCUGAGAGGACGACCAGCCACACUGGGACUGAGACACGGCCCAGACUCCUACGGGAGGCAGCAGUGGGGAAUUUUGGACAAUGGGCGAAAGCCUGAUCCAGCAAUGCCGCGUGUGUGAUGAAGGCCUUCGGGUUGUAAAGCACUUUUGGCGGGAACGAAAAGGACUGUGCCAAUACCACGGUUCGAUGACGGUACCCGCAGAAUAAGCACCGGCUAACUACGU